GAUGAACGCUGGCGGUAUGCUUAACGCAUGCAAGUCGAACGGACUCUUCGGAGUUAGUGGCGGACGGGUGAGUAACGCGUGAGAAUCUGGCUUUGGGUUCGGGACAACCACUGGAAACGGUGGCUAAUACCGGAUGUGGCGAGAGGUAAAAGAGAAAUUGCCUGAAGAUGAGCUCGCGUCUGAUUAGCUAGUUGGUGAGGUAAAGGCUCACCAAGGCAGCGAUCAGUAGCUGGUCUGAGAGGAUGACCAGCCACACUGGGACUGAGACACGGCCCAGACUCCUACGGGAGGCAGCAGUGGGGAAUUUUCCGCAAUGGGCGAAAGCCUGACGGAGCAAUACCGCGUGAGGGAAGAAGGCUCUUGGGUUGUAAACCUCUUUUCUUAGGGAAGAACAAAAUGACGGUACCUAAGGAAUCAGCAUCGGCUAACUCCGUG
rnacentral:rRNA from 1 species